rnacentral:rRNA from 1 species
CCUACGGGAGGCAGCAGUGAGGAAUAUUGGUCAAUGGCCGGAAGGCUGAACCAGCCAUGCCGCGUGAAGGUCAGUGCCCUAUGGGCGUUAAACUUCUUUUGUGCGGGAGCAAUAAUGGUCACGUGUGGCCAGACGAGAGUACCGUACGAAUAAGCAUCGGCUAACUCCGUGCCAGCAGCCGCGGUAAUACGGGGGAUGCAAGCGUUAUCCGGAUGUAUUGGGUUUAAAGGGUGCGUAGGCUGUGAGGUAAGUCAGCGGUGAAAUGCCCCCGCUCAACGGGGUGAAGUGCCAUUGAUACUGCCUUGCUUGAAUGCGGAUGCCGUGGGAGGAAUGUGUGGUGUAGCGGUGAAAUGCAUAGAUAUCACACCAAAAACCGAUUGCGAAGGCAUCUCACGAAUCCGCGAUUGACGCUGAUGCACGAAAGCGUGGGUAUCAAACAGGAUUAGAUACCCUUGUAGUC